CCUACGGGAGGCAGCAGUGAGGAAUAUUGGUCAAUGGACGCAAGUCUGAACCAGCCAAGUAGCGUGCAGGAUGACGGCCCUAUGGGUUGUAAACUGCUUUUAUGCGGGGAUAAACUGAGUCACGUGUGGCUUAUUGCAGGUACCGCAUGAAUAAGGACCGGCUAAUUCCGUGCCAGCAGCCGCGGUAAUACGGAAGGUCCGGGCGUUAUCCGGAUUUAUUGGGUUUAAAGGGUGCGUAGGCCGCCCGUUAAGCUUGUUGUGAAAUGCCGCGGCUCAACCGUGGCAUUGCAGCGGGAACUGGGGGGCUUGAGUGCGCUGGCGGUAGGCGGAAUGCGUGGUGUAGCGGUGAAAUGCUUAGAUAUCACGAAGAACUCCGAUUGCGAAGGCAGCCUACCGUAGCGUUACUGACGCUGAGGCACGAAGGUGUGGGGAUCGAACAGGAUUAGAUACCCGGGUAGUC
rnacentral:rRNA from 1 species